UCCUGUUUAGAAUGUCAAGAAAAAUCUCAUGUACUUUUUUUUCUUUAAUUUUGAAAUCUAGUUUGAAACAAUUUAAGUACAAGCUAAAUCAAGUAAAAUCAGUCGCAGAAGAAAAGGCAACUUCAUUGAAGGACACUACGUAGCAUAUGCAUAUACUGGAUCAAAAUACAUUAUGUACAAAUGUGAUCAAUGUCCAUAUAAUACUAAUAAUAGAGCUAAGUUGAUUCGUCAUUACAGAAGGCAUACAGGAGAAAAACCUUUUGAAUGUAAUAUUUGUUUGAAGAAAUUUACAAGAAGAGAAAGUAUGAUGUCUCACUGCAAAAUUGUGCAUUGUGAAUGAAGAGUCUUCUCAAAAAAUAAAGAUUGUGUUUAUGACGUCCAUGAAAAAGAUAUAAACCUAAUAUUGGACUUAAUGCCUCAAGUGAUAAGCUGCAAAAUUACACAUUUAUAUGCUUUAGGGUUGCUGUUUUUGUUAUUGAAUAUAUAAGACAAACUUUUAAUGACUUUUUUUUGCAUAACAAAUCAUAUUAUCACUUGUGCAAUUGUAAAAUAAAUAAGAAUAUUUGAAAAUAGCUUAUUUUUUAGAAACUUUUACGAAUCUUUAUGCAUGCAUUUGCUUAUCACAUAUAUAUUUCUAUAUUAAAAGAAACUUUAAAAUAUUGUAUACAUUAAAUUAUUUAUUCUGGGUGCAGUGGUUUUUAUUAUUAAAAAGCCUAUAUGUUAUGACUUGAAGCAAUUAUUUAUUUGAAUGUUACAAAAGGAUAUAUGUAUUCAUUUAUUUACACAUGUUAAAUUACUUUUUUUAAACUGAUAUUGUAUGAUGAUAUAGAAUAGAUACUUUUCUCUAUUUUUCAUUUUAUAAAUACUAAUAUAUUUUGUAGCUUUUUCUG